CUUCAUUUUAGGAUCUUAGAUUACACACUUACUGGAUGUUAUGCAGAUCAGCAUUCAGUUCAAGUUUUUGCAUCAGGAAAACCAAAAAUAAGUGCACACCGGAAACUAAUUUCUUCUGAUUAUUACAUCUGGAAUUCUAAAGCCCCUGCUCCAGUAACAUAUGGAUCAUUAUUAUUGUAAUAGUCUCAUGUUUAAAUGGGAUUAUAUAAUGAUAACAGUUUAAAGAAAAUCAUAAUCUUAUAUUUUUAAUGUGGAUGCAUAUAACCUAAACCAUCUAGUCAUCAUCUUUAUACUCUACCUGCUUCUGCAAUUAUAUAUCAUAUUAUGUUUUCAGAGCAGUUCAUUGUCAAGUUGGACUUUAAGUGACCAUUCAAGAAAAGAUGAAAUCUCACGAACCUCAAAACUUCAUUCAUGUCUUUUUACAAAUGAGAAAAAAAAAUGCAUUAAAGAUUAAUACUCAAUUUGA
rnacentral:lncRNA from 1 species